rnacentral:rRNA from 1 species
CGGGCSCUUAGGAUGGAUCUGCGGCCGAUUAGGUCGUUGUUGGGGUAACGGCCCAACAAGCCGAUAAUCGGUACGGGUUGUGGAGCAAGAGCCCGGAGUUGGAUUCUGAGACACGAAUCCAGGCCCUACGGGGCGCAGCAGGCGCGAAAACUUUACAAUGCGGGCAACCGUGAUAAGGGAACCUCGAGUGCCUGUACAUGCAGGCUGUCUGGGUGUCUAAAACACACCCAAAGAAAGGGCCGGGCAAGACCGGUGCCAGCCGCCGCGGUAAUACCGGCGGCUCGAGUGGUGGCCACUUUUAUUGGGCUUAAAGCGUUCGUAGCUGGGUUGUUAAGUCUCUUGGGAAAUCUGGCAGCUUAACUGUCAGGCGUCUAAGAGAUACUGGCAAUCUAGGAACCGGGAGAGGUGAGGGGUACUUCGGGGGUAGGAGUGAAAUCCUGUAAUCCUCGAGGGACCACCUGUGGCGAAGGCGCCUCACCAGAACGGCUUCGACAGUGAGGGACGAAAGCUGGGGGAGCAAACCGGAUUAGAUACCCGGGUAGUCCCAGCCGUAAACGAUGCGCGUUAGGUAUGUCGAUGACCACGAGUCAUCGAGGUGCCGAAGGGAAACCGUGAAACGCGCCGCCUGGGAAGUACGGUCGCAAGGCUGAAACUUAAAGGAAUUGGCGGGGGAG